rnacentral:rRNA from 1 species
AUGUUUCACAAGCAUAUUGCCCACUCGGCUGCUUGUCCACGUUGUCAAGACCCGCACGAGGAUGCCCUCCACCUCAUCUCCAACUGUUCCUACGCGACACAAGUUUGGUCCUCCUUGGGUCUGUCGUCGCCAACCUCACUUGCUGCUCUACACCAACACCCAACGAUUCUAGGCCUCAACCCCAACAUCUGGCCAUCUGUGGCUUUGACUGUUGCAUGGAAGCUGUGGGACUCGAGAAACGCUCUCAUAUUCAGAAACGAGGAUCACUCCCACAACACUACAAUUCAAAACAUUGUAGCAGAUUUCUCCCUCUGGGUUUUUCGGUUCAAAAACAAAGAAGACAAUAUCUUUGCUAAGCAAUGGCUUAAUUUCCUCUCUGCUGCUAAUCACUAA